AACGAACGCUGGCGGCAUGCCUAACACAUGCAAGUCGAACGAGACCUUCGGGUCUAGUGGCGCACGGGUGCGUAACGCGUGGGAAUCUACCCUCAGGUUCGGAAUAACUCAGAGAAAUUUGAGCUAAUACCGGAUGAUGACGUAAGUCCAAAGAUUUAUCGCCUGAGGAUGAGCCCGCUUAGGAUUAGGUAGUUGGUGAGGUAAAGGCUCACCAAGCCGACGAUCCUUAGCUGGUCUGAGAGGAUGAUCAGCCACACUGGGACUGAGACACGGCCCAGACUCCUACGGGAGGCAGCAGUGGGGAAUAUUGGACAAUGGGCGAAAGCCUGAUCCAGCAAGGCCGCGUGAGUGAUGAAGGCCUUAGGGUUGUAAAGCUCUUUUACCCGGGAUGAUAAUGACAGUACCGGGAGAAUAAGCGCCGGCUAACUCCGUG
rnacentral:rRNA from 1 species